rnacentral:rRNA from 1 species
CUUCGGCUCUCGCCUUUAGAUUGGCCCAAGUGGGAUUAGCUAGUUGGUGAGGUAAUGGCUCACCAAGGCAACGAUCCCUAGCUGGUUUGAGAGGAUGAUCAGCCACACUGGAACUGAGACACGGUCCAGACUCCUACGGGAGGCAGCAGUGGGGAAUAUUGCACAAUGGGCGAAAGCCUGGAUGCAGGCCGAUGCCGCGUGUGUGAAGAAGGCCUUCGGGUUGUAAAGCACUUUCAGUCAGGAGGAAAGGGUGUGAGUUAAUACCUUCACAUCUGUGACGUUACUGACAGAAGAAGCACCGGCUAACUCCGUGCCAGCAGCCGCGGUAA